UACGAAGGUUGCAAGCGUUACUCGGAAUUACUAGGCGUAAAGGGCAGGUAGGUGGUUUGGUAAGUCUAUUGUGAAAGCUCCUGGCUUAACUGGGAGAGGCCAAUGGAUACUGCCAAGCUUGAGUAUAGGAGAGGUUACUGGAAUUCCCGGUGUAGCGGUGAAAUGCGCAGAUAUCGGGAGGAACACCAAUGGCGAAAGCAGGUAACUGGACUAUUACUGACACUCAACUGCGAAAGCUAGGGGAGCAAACAGG
rnacentral:rRNA from 1 species